CGCGGGGUGGAGCAGUCUGGUAGCUCGUCGUCGUCGGUUCAAAUCCGGCCCCCGCAACCA
rnacentral:tRNA from 1 species